AGCGAACGCUGGCGGCAGGCCUAACACAUGCAAGUCGAACGAAGCCUUCGGGCUUAGUGGCGGACGGGUGAGUAACACGUGGGAACGUACCUUUUGGUUCGGAACAACUCAGGGAAACUUGAGCUAAUACCGGAUGAGCCCUUCGGGGGAAAGAUUUAUCGCCAUUAGAGCGGCCCGCGUUAGAUUAGCUAGUUGGUGAGGUAAAGGCUCACCAAGGCUACGAUCUAUAGCUGGUCUGAGAGGAUGAUCAGCCACACUGGGACUGAGACACGGCCCAGACUCCUACGGGAGGCAGCAGUGGGGAAUCUUGCGCAAUGGGCGAAAGCCUGACGCAGCCAUGCCGCGUGAAUGAUGAAGGUCUUAGGAUUGUAAAAUUCUUUUACCAGGGACGAUAAUGACGGUACCUGGAGAAAAAGCCCCGGCUAACUUCGUGCCAGCCGCCACCGUAACAC
rnacentral:rRNA from 1 species